rnacentral:lncRNA from 1 species
GUGCAUGCUGGGCUGUAAUUUAUGAAACGGAUCCCAGGAAACAGCCAAUCAUUUUGCUUCUCCUAACAAGUCCAACUGGCUAUGAAAAGCUGGAAGUGCUGCACAGAACAAUGAAGAGGAGCUAUCCCACAUAUUAAUCUGCUUAUCUAGGAUUGCCUUCUGUGUAGGGAGAGGGAAGUAUAUAAUAAGAGGAGGAAAAAAAAAAACGAAAGAAAAAUCACAGCUGCACUAUUAAAACAAUGGAAUACCUCUAAUUA